AACAAACGCUGGCGGCGUGCCUAAUACAUGCAAGUCGAACGGGGAAAGCUUUCGGGUGAGUACUAGUGGCGCACGGGUGAGGAACGCGUGGAUAAUCUGCCUUAGAGUGGGGGAUAACUAGUCGAAAGAUUAGCUAAUACCGCAUAAGACCACAGGAGCUGCGGCUCAAGGGGUCAAAGGUUUUUCGCUCUAAGAUGAGUCCGCGUAAGAUUAGCCAGUUGGUGAGGUAACGGCUCACCAAGGCGACGAUCUUUAACUGGUCUGAGAGGAUGAUCAGUCACACUGGAACUGAGACACGGUCCAGACUACUACGGGAGGCAGCAGUAGGGAAUAUUGCACAAUGGAGGAAACUCUGAUGCAGCGACGCCGCGUGAGUGAUGAAGGCCUUCGGGUCGUAAAGCUCUGUCGCAGGGGAAUAACACAAUGAAUGUACCCUGUAAGAAAGGAUCGGCUAACUACGUGCCAGCCGCCGCCGUAAUAC
rnacentral:rRNA from 1 species